rnacentral:rRNA from 1 species
CUCGUAGGCGGCUUGUCGCGUCUGCUGUGAAAACGCGGGGCUUAACUCCGCGCGUGCAGUGGGUACGGGCAGGCUAGAGUGUGGUAGGGGUGACUGGAAUUCCUGGUGUAGCGGUGAAAUGCGUAGAUAUUAGGAGGAACACCAGUGGCGAAGGCGGCUUACUGGACGGUAACUGACGUUGAGGCUCGAAAGCGUGGGGAGCAAACA